CCUACGGGGGGCAGCAGUGAGGAAUAUUGGUCAAUGGACGAGAGUCUGAACCAGCCAAGUAGCGUGAAGGAUGACUGCCCUACGGGUUGUAAACUUCUUUUAUAUGGGAAUAAAAUGUUCCACGUGUGGGUUUUUGUAUGUACCAUAUGAAUAAGGAUCGGCUAACUCCGUGCCAGCAGCCGCGGUAAUACGGAGGAUCCGAGCGUUAUCCGGAUUUAUUGGGUUUAAAGGGAGCGUAGGUGGAUUGUUAAGUCAGUUGUGAAAGUUUGCGGCUCAACCGUAAAAUUGCAGUUGAAACUGGCAGUCUUGAGUACAGUAGAGGUGGGCGGAAUUCGUGGUGUAGCGGUGAAAUGCUUAGAUAUCACGAAGAACUCCGAUUGCGAAGGCAGCUCACUGGACUGCAACUGACACUGAGGCUCGAAAGUGUGGGUAUCAAACAGGAUUAGAUACCCGAGUAGUC
rnacentral:rRNA from 1 species